GACCCCAAGCAGCUAUGCUCAUUGCUGGUUUGGCCUGGUAUUUGGGAUUUCGGGCGGUGACUUGACGAUGUCUCUUGCUGGAGGGCCCGUUCUCACGUGUCUAGUUUGUGGCCGAACAAAUCUACUGCUUGUCAUUGGGCAUGACCGAGCCUAGGAUACCACUGACUCCACCUGCCAGUAUGAGGGUAGGAAAUUCUUUCAUUGAGGAGGAGAUCCUCUUUAUCUAGGAUAGUGCUGAUGCUGAGGGACUGCUGGUAGAGGGGGACUACAUGGACUAUAUCUGGUCCCAUCUUGAACGAUAAUUACUAGGAGUUGUGGAGGGUUCCUCAAUCUUCCCUCUUGUCCAAGGUAGAGGUCGAGGUCAUGUGUAGCCAUUAGGGAAAGGUGGGGUUGUUUCACCUAUUAUCGUUGUCGUUGCUGUAGAUGUGGGUGAAGAUCUUUCGAUGAUGCCUACCGUCGUUUCGAUGAUGUUGCCUAGAGGUGACACACUGUUGAUGGCUAUUCCAGAGCCAGCCAUAGUUCCCUUUUGUCUCCCUGCUAGAGUCGAACAGUGCUGAUCCAAGAGUAUGCUAUGGGCACUCGAACACCGAUUCAGUUUGCUGGCUUAUCUGGGCAUGUGGGUGGUUCAUCCACAUCCCAUACUACUAGAGGAGGCAGUUCUAAUAAUGUCUAUGAGCCCAACAACGAUGGUGAUGAUGACAACAAGGAGAAUGAGGGAGUUUCAUUCCAGGGUGCUUCAAAGCGCCCUUGGAAAGGUUGACCGAGCUCCAUUUACCAUAGCCUUAGGAUUUUUGCUUUCUUUUUUGUAUUUUCCUUAUUUUUUUAGAAAACAUUGUAUAGGAUGCUUGAGGGAUGUCCCC